ACUCCGGUUGAUCCUGCCGGACCCUACCGCUAUCGGGAUGGGAUUAAGACAUGUUAGUCGUGCGCUUCCUAGCCAUGAUGGAGGCGCGGCGCACAGCUCAGUAUCACGUGGCUAACCUAACCUUAGGACGGGGGCACCCCCGGGAAACUGGGGCUAAUUUCCGAUAGGUGAAGAUUCCUGGAAUGGAUUUUUGCCUAAAGGGCACUUGGGUCAUGCUUCCAGGUGUUGCCUAAGGAUGGGGCCGCGGCCGAUCAGGUUGUUGGUGAGGUAAUGGCCCACCAAGCCUUUUACCGGUGCGGGCCGUGGGAGCGGGAGCCCGGAGAUGGGCACUGAGACAAGGGCCCAGGCCCUACGGGGCGCAGCAGUCGCGAAAAUUUCGCAAUAAGCGAAAGCUUGACGGAGCUAUCCCGAGUGCCAUCCGCUGAGGAUGGCUUUUCUCUAGUAUAGAUAGCUGGGGGAAUAAGGAGAGGGCAAGUCUGGUGUCAGCCGCCGCGGUAAUACCAGCUCUCCGAGUGGUGGGGAUGAUUAUUGGGCCUAAAGCAUCCGUAGCC
rnacentral:ncRNA from 1 species